rnacentral:rRNA from 1 species
GAUGAACGCUGGCGGCGUGCCUAACACAUGCAAGUCGAGCGGCAGCGAGGGGUGCUUGCACCCUGUCGGCGAGCGGCGGACGGCUGAGUAACGCGUGGGAACGUUCCCCAAAGUGAGGAAUAACUGCCCGAAAGGGUAGCUAAUACCGCAUAUUAUCUUCGGAUCAAAGGAUUUAUCCGCUUUGGGAGCGGCUCGCGUCGGAUUAGGUAGUUGGUGAGGUAAUGGCUCACCAAGCCGACGAACCGUAGCUGGUCUGAGAGGAUGACCAGCCAGACUGGAACUGAGACACGGUCCAGACUCCUACGGGAGGCAGCAGUGGGGAAUCUUCCACAAUGGGCGAAAGCCUGAGGGAGCAACGCCGCGUGCAGGACGAAGGCCUUCGGGUUGUAAACUGCUUUUAUAAGUGAGGAAUAGGACGGUAACUUAUGAAUAAAGAUCGGCUAACUACGG